UAUACUUUCAAAAUAGUAUUUAGGGUUCAGAAUCUUAAUUUUAUUGCGUUUACAGGUUACACCAACAUCGAGUAGUAUUAUAUUCUGGAUUUAAAAAAAUUAAUGUGUAAUAAAACCGUUUUCAUUAGGCCAAAAAUAUUUAUUUAUGCCUUUAAAACUGCUCUUAUUAUCUAUUUUUGACAUUAUUCGUAUUUCGCAUACUUUUCCAAAGAGAAAGUUUUGUUUUAAAAUCCCCUUUUAAAAAACAGAAACUAAAGGCCAGUCUACUUGACUACAUUCUCGAAUGUACAUACUUCUAAUACUUUAACUAGUACUGUCUCGUAGGCUUCCUCAAGACUUGUAUCAGACCGCAAAAGUUUCCAAAUUACUUAUCGCCAUUAAUAGUGGACAAGUAGGAAAGUAUAAAGGAAAGUCUCUUGACGAAAUAACUUUGUCAGACAAUGAAUCAUUGCUGGAUGAGACUGAAACAGAAAAACCUUUAUUGCAUGAUCGAAAACAAAAUGAUAGUGAAAAUGAAAUAGAAGAGAUAUGGAAACAGGAGCUCAGAGAACAAGCAAUAAAAAAUGCAGAUUUAGAUAAAAGGGAAAAUAAUAUAAGAAAAGGCAAGCGAGGAAAGUGGAAUUCAGAGCAAAAAAAUUUAUUGAAAAAUGCUUUCAAAGAACACAUAAAAAACAAAAAGGCUCCGAGAAAAGAAGAAGCCGAGUUGAUAAUGAAAAAACAUAAAGAUUUAUUCAAGGAUAAGACAUGGGCCACAGUAAAAGCUUUUGUUUAUAACUGUUAUAAAGGUUAAACGUUUUCUAAUAUACUUCAAACAUUCUAGACUUGUAAUC